rnacentral:rRNA from 1 species
GAACGCUUCUCUUCGGAGAGGAGUGGCGCACGGGUGAGUAACGCGUGGGAACCUGCCCUGGGGUGGGGGAUAACCGAUGGAAACGUCGGCUAAUACCGCAUACGUCCUGAGGGAGAAAGAUUUAUCGCCCUAGGAGGGGCCCGCGUCGGAUUAGCUAGUUGGUGGGGUAACGGCCUACCAAGGCGAUGAUCCGUAGCUGGUCUGAGAGGAUGAUCAGCCACACUGGGACUGAGACACGGCCCAGACUCCUACGGGAGGCAGCAGUGGGGAAUAUUGGACAAUGGGCGCAAGCCUGAUCCAGCAAUGCCGCGUGAGUGAUGAAGGCCUUAGGGUUGUAAAGCUCUUUCGGCGGGGACGAUGAUGACGGUACCCGCAGAAGAAGCCCCGGCUAACUUCGUG